AACUUUUGACAACGGAUCUCUUGGCUCUCGCAACGAUGAAGAACGCAGCGAAAUGCGAUAAGUAAUGUGAAUUGCAGAAUUCAGUGAAUCAUCGAAUCUUUGAACGCACAUUGCGCUCCCUGGUAUUCCGGAGAGCAUGCCUGUUUGAGAAUCAGUAAAUUCUUCAACACCAAUGGUUGGGUGGCUUAAUUGCUGCCUGUCUGAGGCGUUGGAUGUGAGCCUUUUUGUGCCUAUGGCGCAAAUGGCUUAGAAAGCAAUGUUAAAGGACCUUGGGCGACAUGUCUUAGGCAAAACGCAUGAAUGAGGCAACUCACUAGUACGUUUGGCAUCUGACUUGACACCUUUGUGCCUGUGACUCAACUAUUAUCCAGGCAAGCUGGCGUCAGCGAGCUUGCUCUGAACACUUGGUCUCAAAUCAGGUAGGAAAACCCGCUGAACUUAAGCAUAUCAAUAAGCGGAGGAAAAGAAACUAACAAGGAUUCCCCUAGUAACGGCGAGUGAAGCGGGAACAGCUCAAAUUUGAAAUCUCAUGGGGUAACCCGUGCGAAUUGUAGUUUAUAGAAACGUUUUCGGGGGUGGCUCUGGCAUAAGUCCCUUGGAAUAAGGCAUCAUAGAGGGUGAGAAUCCCGUAUUUGGUGAGAUGCCCGCUCCUAUGUGAUACGUUUUCUAAGAGUCGGUUUGUUUGGGAAUGCAGACCAAAAUGGGUGGUAAAUACCAUCUAAAGCUAAAUAUUGGCGAGAGACCGAUAGCGAACAAGUACCGUGAGGGAAAGAUGAAAAGAACUUUGAAAAGAGAGUUAAAAGUACGUGAAAUUGUCAAAAGGGAA
rnacentral:misc_RNA from 1 species